rnacentral:rRNA from 1 species
GACGAACGCUGGCGGCGUGCUUAACACAUGCAAGUCGAACGGAAAGGCCCUGCUUUUGUGGGGUGCUCGAGUGGCGAACGGGUGAGUAACACGUGAGUAACCUGCCCUUGACUUUGGGAUAACUUCAGGAAACUGGGGCUAAUACCGGAUAGGAGCUCCUGCUGCAUGGUGGGGGUUGGAAAGUUUCGGCGGUUGGGGAUGGACUCGCGGCUUAUCAGCUCGUUGGUGGGGUAGUGGCUUACCAAGGUUUUGACGGGUAGCCGGCCUGAGAGGGUGACCGGCCACAUUGGGACUGAGAUACGGCCCAGACUCCUACGGGAGGCAGCAGUGGGGAAUAUUGCACAAUGGGCGGAAGCCUGAUGCAGCAACGCCGCGUGCGGGAUGACGGCCUUCGGGUUGUAAACCGCUUUCGCCUGUGACGAAGCGUGAGUGACGGUAAUGGGUAAAGAAGCACCGGCUAACUACGUGCCAGCAGCCGCGGUGAUACGUAGGGUGCGAGCGUUGUCCGGAUUUAUUGGGCGUAAAGGGCUCGUAGGUGGUUGAUCGCGUCGGAAGUGUAAUCUUGGGGCUUAACCCUGAGCGUGCUCUCGAUACGGGUUGACUUGAGGAAGGUAGGGGAGAAUGGAAUUCCUGGUGGAGCGGUGGAAUGCGCAGAUAUCAGGAGGAACACCAGUGGCGAAGGGCGGUUCUCUGGGCCUUUCCUGACGCUGAGGAGCGAAAGCGUGGGGAGCGAACAGGCUUAGAUACCCUGGUAGUCCACGCUGUAAACGGUGGGUACUAGGUGUGGGGUCCAUUCCACGGGUUCCGUGCCGUAGCUAACGCUUUAAGUACCCCGCCUGGGGAGUACGGCCGCAAGGCUAAAACUCAAAGGAAUUGACGGGGCCCCGCACAAGCGGCGGAGCAUGCGGAUUAAUUCGAUGCAACGCGUAGAACCUUACCUGGGUUUGACAUGGAUCGGGAGUGCUCAGAGAUGGGUGUGCCUCUUUUGGGGUCGGUUCACAGGUGGUGCAUGGCUGUCGUCAGCUCGUGUCGUGAGAUGUUGGGUUAAGUCCCGCAACGAGCGCAACCCUUGUUCACUGUUGCCAGCACGUUAUGGUGGGGACUCAGUGGAGACCGCCGGGGUCAACUCGGAGGAAGGUGGGGAUGACGUCAAGUCAUCAUGCCCCUUAUGUCCAGGGCUUCACGCAUGCUACAAUGGCUGGUACAGAGAGUGGCGAGCCUGUGAGGGUGAGCGAAUCUCGGAAAGCCGGUCUCAGUUCGGAUUGGGGUCUGCAACUCGACCUCAUGAAGUCGGAGUCGCUAGUAAUCGCAGAUCAGCAACGCUGCGGUGAAUACGUUCCCGGG